ACACCGCAGUUCCCACCGCUCCGGGUGUCCUCCCCAGUGCGCCGCGAUUUUUGUGUCCAAGCCCCAGAGUCCCUCUGAGACCAACCCCCAGCCAGCACAGACUUCCUGCCUUCCCAGCUCGGAAGCGCCCUCGAGAAGUGUCUAAAGGAGACAGUUGAUAGCCAAACAACAGUUUUGGAUUCACUGACUGAUUAUGAAAGAAGCAGUAGACUGGUAUCAAGAAUCAGUCAGCAAGGAGGCCCUCACCAGACGCCAGUGCCAUGUUCUUGGACUUCUCAGCCUCCAUAUUCAUGAACUAAGUUUUUGGAAUCCUUAGGCUUCCACGUGUGGAAAGCCUGAGCUAACCUACUGGAGGAUGAGCCAUCACCUGGAGCAGAUUCAGGCCAUCCUAGUUGAAGCCUCCCUAGGCCAAGCAACCGUCCAACUACCAGACAUUGACCAUUCAGCCUUGAACAUUCAGCACAAAGACAAAACAGACCAGACCAGAAGAGUCCCACAGAAUAGGGGAAACUAUUCAGAGAAAACUUAAGCCACUAAGUUUUAUGGUGUUUUGUUCUGUAGCAGAAGCAUAGGCAUACUGACAAUACAAACCGAAAUCCUUCUAACGUAGUGGACCUUUUCAGGCCAGCAUUUUUUCCUUGAAAACCUGGAGCAUGUAUCCAUCUUAUAGCAGAGAUCACUUUCACAAUGUUUGGGCUCUUGAUUUGAAUUGAUGAUGUAAUGAGCCCUCUAUCCAGAUUGUAACUAAUUACUCUGCGAAUUGACUGGAUUCCACACCCUUCUAAUAUUUUACUUUUCCUCUUUUAUCAACUCUCAUUCUUGCUGCCAUGAUCAAUGGACCAACUAUGCUUAUAACCACAAAUUUUGAUAUGCUUAAACAAAUGAACAAAUAUAUUUAAUAAUUUCUUUUUUUUUUUUGAAAUAGUAUCUUGCUCUGUCACCCAGGCUGCAGUGCAGCAGCGUGAUCUCAGCUCACUAUAACCUCCACCUCCCGGGUUCAAGUGAUUCUCCUGCCUCAGCCUCCCAAGUAGCUGGGACUACAGGCGCCCACCACCAUACCUGGCUAAUUUUUUGUA
rnacentral:lncRNA from 10 species